CGGGACGGGUGAGUAAUGUCUGGGAAACUGCCUGAUGGAGGGGGGUAACUACUGGAAACGGUAGCUAAUACCGCAUAACGUCGCAAGACCAAAGAGGGGGACCUUCGGGCCUCUUGCCAUCGGAUGUGCCCAGAUGGGAUUAGCUAGUAGGUGGGGUAACGGCUCACCUAGCGACGAUCCCUAGCUGGUCUGAGAGGAUGACCAGCCACACUGGAACUGAGACACGGUCCAG
rnacentral:rRNA from 1 species